CGUCUCUGGCAGCUAUAGCGAUGA
rnacentral:siRNA from 1 species